UACGUAGGGAGCUAGCGUUACUCGGAAUCACUGGGCAUAAAGGGCGUGUAGGCGGAGGCGUAAGUCCGAUGUAAAAUCCCCCGGCUCAACCGGGGAAGGCCAUCGGAUACUGCGUUUCUUGAGUGCGGGAGGGGAGAGUGGAACUCUUGGUGGAGCGGUGAAAUGCGUAGAUAUCAAGAGGAACGCCGGUGGCGAAAGCGACUCUCUGGCCCGUUACUGACGCUGAGGCGCGAAAGCCAGGGGAG
rnacentral:rRNA from 1 species